ACGACCUUACUUGAACAGGAUCUGUUCUAUAGGAUCGUACAUCUGUAUCCUUUAGCACAAAGGAGACAGGAACCCAAACCUGGUGGAUGAAUAAGGACCAUGCGAUCAGAGCGUGAUUGACGGUUUGGUUGGACCCUUGGGUCUAACGUAGCUGUAAAGGAUCGUUCCUUCAUUACCUAGCUUUGAAGGUUGGUCGCAUGGUUGUCUGACAGGCU
rfam:Jatropha curcas cultivar GZQX0401 scaffold224_100, whole genome shotgun sequence.